rnacentral:lncRNA from 1 species
UUCAAACUUGUUGAGUUUGUUUUCUUUCCAUGGUACGCACCAAAGCACCAGUAGGGUUACAGUUCCAUUUCCGUUUGCAAUUUGCACACCAUGAUACAUCCAAAAAGUUCUAUUAACUGGAUCCCGUAUCCCUUGAAUCAUCUUUUUUCCUCCUGGAUUCCUAUGGUUCAAAUGCCGUCGUGCUUCCCGGUCCUUUUCAUUUAGUGCUUCGACCCGAAGGGAUAGCUUGAUGAUGGCAACCUCUCGAAUGAGAAGGCGUCUGCGGUAUGAAGAGAUAGCAACUUGGAUGCCAAGGGACAAAACGUCUGUCUUUGCAUGUAAAUGUCAUUGUUAUUGUUGCUGAUGAUGAUGCAGAUGCAAAAAUGGGCAAGCAACAGUCAGCGUAAAUCUGCUCCCUGAGUUGAAUUGGCCGUGCACCGCUUGCAAGUAUGCAUGGUGUACCAGAUAACGAGAAGACGGAAUUUCAGCAGGUCUACUGAUUUCUGCCUACUGACUUGUGAUUUUGUGAGCAUACACGCAUUGAAAGUACACCAGAGGUGUGGUUUGUUCACUAAACAUUCCAUGGAGAACCGAACUGUGCCCGGCAGCAGAGAGCGGAAGCGAGGAGAAGAUCAGAGAGUAACUGAUACCAUGUAAGAGUAGAGAGAGAGAUAUGUUGAUCCACGCUUUUAUUCAAUCAACAGGCAGUAGUAUAUAUACAUGCGGUAGGACUUAUCUAUCCUAACUGAUCGCUAGAGAGCCGGUCCUCGCAGGAGAGUAGCGUGAGGAUUUGAGAUCCCUGGCGAUCGGGGUGAGGCGUCGUGGAAGGAGCCGGUCCUGCAUGCAGGGAGUAGACGCGGCUGCAUGCCUAGGCGUGGGCGUGGGCGCCGCUGCAUGCAGGUAUAGCUUGCCCGCCAAGGCAGGAGCUACACCGGCUGGGAGUCCCACGUAGAAGCCUCCUGGGAGUUUGUUUCACCCCCCCCCCCCCCCCCCCCCCCCCCCCCGCGCCCANNNNNNNNCCCCCCCCCCCCCCCGGCAGUCGAUGCCUCGCCGUCGGAGAUGCAGAGGCCGGAGCGAAACUCCCGGAACACCGUCGGUGGAAGGCCCUUGGUCAUAACGUCGGCGAACUGUUGCGCCGUCGGAACAUGAAGAACGCGAACAUGCCCGAGUGCCACCUUCUCGCGGACGAAGUGGAUGUCGAGCUCGAUGUGCUUGGUGCGACGAUGAUGAACAAGGUUGGCGGAGAGGUACACCGCCGAGACAUUGUCGCAGUAGACCACCGUUGCUUUGGCGACACCACAGUGGAGCUCGGUGAGGAGUUGUCGGAGCCAGGAGCACUCGGCGACGGCAUUGGCGACGACGCGAUAUUCGGCCUCCGCGCUAGAGCGAGACACCGUGGGAUGUCGUUUAGACGACCACGAUACCAACGAAGGCCCCAUGUAGAUGCAGUAGCCGGAGGUAGAGCGACGAGUGUCCGGGCAGCCGGCCCAGUCAGCGUCAGAGUAGGCCACGAGGUCGAGCGACGAGGAGGCGGUGAGAGUGAGGCCGAGCGAAGGGGAGCCGCGGAUAUAGUGAAGGAUCCGCUUCACCAAGGUACAGUGCACGUCGCGCGAGGCAUGCAUAUGAAGACAGACCUGCUGGACGACAUACUGAAGGUCUGGACGGGUCAGCGUCAAGUAUUGGAGAGCGCCGACGAUGCUGCGAUAAAAGGAGGCGUCGGAGAAGGGCACGCCGGCCUGCCCGGAGACCUUGCCGGUGGUGUCGAUGGGUGUAGACGCCGUCUUGCAGUCGGACAUGCCAGCGCGCUCCAGGAGCUCGAGAGCAUAUUUCCGCUGGCAGAGGAAAAAGCCGUCGGAGCGGCGCGCGACCUCCACGCCAAGGAAGUAGUGGAGAGGCCCGAGAUCUUUCAAGGCAAACUCGCGCUGAAGGAGCCCGACGAGAUGACGAAGGAGAGCAUCGGUGGAGGCGGUGAGGACAAUGUCGUCGACGUACAGCAAGAGGUAAGCCAUGGCGUCGCCGCGGCGGUAGACGAACAGCGACGCGUCGGACCUGGCGAUGACGAAGCCGAUGCCGACCAGGAACGCGGUGAUGCGUUGGUACCAGGCGCGAGGGGCCUGUUUGAGCCCGUAGAGGGAGCGAGAGAGCAGGCAGACAUCAUUAGGGCGGGCGGAGUCGACGAAGCCGGCCGGCUGCUGAUAAAACACCUGCUCCGUCAGGUGUCCAUGGAGAAACGCGUUGGAGACGUCAAGCUGGUGGACGCCCCACCGGCGUGAGACGGCGAGCUGGAGGACGCAGCGAAUCGUGCCGGGUUUCACAACGGGGGCGAAGGUGUCGGUGAAGUCGAGCCCCGCACGUUGUCGAAAGCCCCGGACGACCCAGCGAGCCUUGUAGCGGUCCAGAGAGCCGUCAGGGCGGAGCUUAUGCCGAAAAACCCACCGGCCGCUGAUGAUGUGGGCACGAGGCGGGAGUGGAACGAGCUGCCAGGUGCGGUUCCGGAGAAGCGCAUCGUAUUCCUCCUGCAUGGCGGCGCGCCAGUGGGGGUCCCGGAGCGCCGAGUGGACGGACGGAGGAACCGGCGAAGGAGGGGCGGUGGUGGCGGCGCAGACGUACUCGGCGGAGGAGUACCGCUGGCUGGGACGACGAACCCCGGCGCGGGCGCGGGUGACGACGCCUGUCGGUGCAGGGGGCGGGGCGACCGCCCCUGGAGAAGGCGAGGAAGAGGCCGCCGGCGCUGGAGCCGUAGUGGAGGGAGUGGCGGCCGAAGCGGGCGACCCAGAGGGUGGAGUAGACUGGGCCGCACCACCAGCUGGCGAUGGAGACGCCACAUGCGGGGUCGAGGCGGCGGCGUCUGCAUGCGGUGGAGCGGACGAAGCCACGUGAGGAGAGGCGGCAGCUGCAUGCACGGGAGGAGACGUGCGCGCGCGGGGGCGGCCAGGGGUGCUGGGAGUAGAAGCACCGAAGAGCGCCGAGGUGCAGGCGACGAGGGUGCAGGCGCCGAGGACGAAACGAGAGCCUGCUGAAACGGAAAAACGGACUCGUCAAAGUGCACAUGGCGAGAGAUGAAGACGUGCCCAGAAGCCGGGUCGAAGCAACGGAAGCCCUUGGUGUUGGGAGGGUAGCCGAAGAAGACGCAGGGAACGGAUCGGGGAGCAAGCUUGUGCGGGGCGGUGGCAAGGAGAUUGGGGUAGCAGAGGCAGCUGAAGACCCGGAGGUUGUCAUAGGAGGGAGGGUGACCGAAGAAGAGGUGGUGGGGAGUGAAGUUGCCGCGAGUGCGGCAGGGGCGGAUGUUGAGAGUGUGGGUGGCGGUGUUGAGAGCCUCAGGCCAGUAGCGGUUGGGAACGGCAGCGUGUAGGAGGAGAGCGCGGACCGCGUCGUUGAGUGUGCGAAGAACGCGCUCAGCACGCCCAUUCUGCUGGGAUGUAUAGGGGCAGGUGAGGCGGAGUAUGGCGCCGUGGGCGGGGAGCAGAGAAUGCACACCGUGGUUGUCGAAUUCGCGCCCGUUGUCGGUUUGAAGACCGAGAAUGGGGCGGGAAAACUGUGUACGGACAAACGCAAAGAAGGAGGUAAGCGUAGAAAGCACGUCCGAUUUGGUGCGAAGGGGGAACGUCCAGACAAAGUGUGAAAAGUCAUCAAGAAGAACCAGAUAGUAUUGAAACCCGGAGUUGCUGAUGAUCGGAGAGGUCCAUACAUCACAGUGUAACAAUUCAAAGGAAAAACUAGAGACAUGAGUAGAGGAAGAAAAGGGAAGGCGGGUGCUCUUGCCCAAGCGACAAGCAGAACAAGAGUGGGGAGCACGUUUAUUACAAAUAAAGGAGCCACAACGAAGAAGGCGAUCCAUGGUGGAGGUGCCGGGGUGCCCGAGCCGAGCAUGCCAGAGGUCAACGCCGGCGAGAAGGGCGACAAGAGCACGGUUGGGGAGCGACGGCCGGAGCGGGUAGAGAUCGCCGGGGCUAUCACAUCGGAGAAGCACCGUCUUGGUCUGCAGGUCCUUAAUGGAGAAACCAAAGGGGUCAAAUUCAACGAAAACGGAAUUUUGGCGAGUAAGAGCACGAACGGAGACGAGAUUAGUAAUGAGAUGAGGAGAGACAAGCACGUCAUAAAGUUUGAUAGGAGAGUCAGAGGGGAGGGAGAGAGCACCGCGGUGGGUGAUGGGGAGAGAGGAGCCAUCCCCGACCACGAUGCGGGUGGAGGUAGGAAAGGGUUGAGAGUGAGAAAGGAUACCGAGGUGGGAAGCCAUGUGAGAGGACGCGCCGGUGUCCAUGAACCAGUCGCCGUUGCCGGAGUAGGUGGCCGGCGAGGGGGCCUGGUGCAGGGCCGCCAGGAGGGCGGGAUCCGGCAAAGCAGACGGAGCGCCGGAGUGACCGAGCCAAUGCGCCGGAAGCGCUGGCGGCCAGGUGGUGGGGGGCGGCGAGGGGUAGCCGCCGGGUGCGGCCAGCAGCGCCUGGUGGCUGGCUGGACGUGAGCCCAGUAUGCCCGGGUGCGGGGCACGGGUGGGAGGAAGAGCCCAUGCAUGGACUACCCCAGUCCACGGGUUGACCCCGCCGAACCAAGGCGCAGGCGCAGGUUCAGGAGAGGCAGCAGGGCGCCCGGCAGGAGCGGUGCCGGCGGCACGGGGGCGGCCGUCAGGGCCCCUCUUCUUCUUGCGAGCGUGGCCGGACGGAGAGGAGCCGGGCGUAGGAGACGGCGCCGCCGGGGGAGUGGUGCGCGCGGCGAGGGCGGCCUGGGAGCGCUGUAGGGUAGACUGGCGCAUCCGCCGUUCCUCGAGGCGCAGAUAGUUGACGGCGCGAGCGAACGUCGGUUCGGUGAGGAGGUUGAGGUUGGAGGCGGCGUUGGCGUAGUCCGAUCCGAGCCCACGGAUGAGGUUCGUGAGCAUGGUGGUGUCGGAGACGGGGGCGCCGACGUCGCGGAGCUCGUCGACGAGGACCUUGAGGCGAAGGCAGUAGUCGAAGAGCCCCAUGCCCUCCUGGGAGAGAUUGUAGAACUCCGUGGUGAGAAGGACUUGGCGCUGGAGUUGGUUGUCGAGGAAGAGCUGGUAGAUGGACGUCCAGACGCCGAGAGCCGAGUCGUCGCCGCGGAUGACGUGAGACAGAACCUCGGUGCUGAUGGUGCGGUAGAGCCACUUGAUGGUGGCGUCAAUCCCCAUCCAGUUGGCGUCGUCGUGCAUGGUGCGAGCGUCGACCGAGCCGUCGACGUGAUCCCGAAUCUGGAAUUCGCGGAACGUCAACGAGAAGUAGGUACGCCAGGUGGAGAAGGAGGGUGUGUGGAGGUCGAGCACAACGGGAACGUGGUCCUGGAUGUGGAUGAGGCGGAUGCUGGCGGCGGAGGCGGGUUCGAGGACGGCGAACGGGUUGAGGUCGUCGGAGAGAGGGGAGUGAGGGGAGCGAGGAGAGGCCAUGCCGGCAGCAGAGAGCGGAAGCGAGGAGAAGAUCAGAGAGUAACUGAUACCAUGUAAGAGUAGAGAGAGAGAUAUGUUGAUCCACGCUUUUAUUCAAUCAACAGGCAGUAGUAUAUAUACAUGCGGUAGGACUUAUCUAUCCUAACUGAUCGCUAGAGAGCCGGUCCUCGCAGGAGAGUAGCGUGGGCGAGGAUUUGAGAUCCCUGGCGAUCGGGAUGAGGCGUCGUGGAAGGAGCCGGUCCUGCAUGCAGGGAGUAGACGCGGCUGCAUGCCUGGGCGUGGGCGUGGGCGCCGCUGCAUGCAGGUAUAGCUUGCCCGCCAAGGCAGGAGCUACACCGGCUGGGAGUCCCACGUAGAAGCCUCCUGGGAGUUUGUUUCAUCAGGAACUUUUCCACAACAAAACAUAGAUCCACAUUUAAAAUAUAUAAAUAAAUAAAUAACGGUACUAGGUACAACCAUAUUGUGCUAUCAAACAGAGGUUUCUGUUUCCUCAAACAUAUCACAGAGUGCCUCAGGCUCAAGUGGACUGUGUGAACCAGCCAUACUUGUAUGGAGGCAGCAGGCUCAAGAGGACAAUGUGAACCAAGCAUAUGUGCAUGGGAGACGACGUGCUCAAAAGAAGCAAUGUGAACACUGGUGAGAACCGGCGCAGCAAAAUGGCGAUGCAGUGCCAUUGGAGAAGAGUGAAGAGCUCAUCUUCAUCCUUCCCCGAUGGACGCCAACACCCAUCACAACUAGGUUCCGCCACCCUGAGACCACCAUAUUAGAUCCUCCCAUGGUGGAAUGUCUAGCUGAGUUAAGAGGUGUAACUCUGUUUCUGUAGCUUCUCCCAAUGCAUAAAAUGCAUGGAUGCUCUACCUAGAUCUUUGUUUCCCUCCAAUAUUCCAGCUACUAAAUAUGAGUCUAUCUCACACAUCCCUCAAAUGAAAUGAUAAUAUGAGGCUACUUGCAUUCAUGGAGCAGUGGUCAUGGCACUAU